rnacentral:tRNA from 1 species
AAGAAAGAAGCAUAAAGUGGUUUAGUGCAGUUGGCUUGAAACCAGCUUGUGAGGGUUCGAUUCCUUCCUUUCUUG